AUUUGGCUUUGUUUUUCAUAGAAAUUGUCAAUUUAAGGAAAAUAUUUUUUUACAAUUAGGAAUAAAAUUUGUUUCCAUUGCCAAAAAAAAAAAAAAAAGUUGCCCAGGAAACCUAUUCUCACCAUACCCUUAAAAAUUGGAAUUCCCCAAAAACAAAGAAAAUGGGCUCGUGAGGGGAGGAAAUAGAAAACAAAUUCCGUGGAAAAAAAUUGCCAUCAAAUAUGGCAAAAGGUGGAAAGUGGAAUUCAUUUUCCAUUUUCCAUUUUCCAUGGAAAUCAUGGCCUGAGCUCACUUUGGUUUAAUUUGUUCAUUUUUGUUGUUGUUGGUGUUUAAGAAAGUUGAUUAAUAAUAUCAACCAAAGAUGGUAACGGAUAUUAAUAUUAUACCAUUAUGAAGUUGAUUACACUUUAAUUAUAGUUAGAAUGCCUUGUGAAAUUAAUUGAUGUUGACUGAAUAGACACAUUUCUGGAGACGAGAAUGGC
rnacentral:lncRNA from 1 species